UGAGGAAUAUUGGUCAAUGGGCGCAAGCCUGAACCAGCCAUGCCGCGUGAAGGAUGAAGGCCUUCUGGGUUGUAAACUUCUUUUAUUGGGGAAGAAAAUUAUGGUUUCUACUAUAACCGACGGUACCCAAGGAAUAAGCACCGGCUAACUCCGUGCCAGCAGCCGCGGUAAUACGGAGGGUGCAAGCGUUAUCCGGAUUCACUGGGUUUAAAGGGUGUGUAGGCGGAUUAUUAAGUCAGUGGUGAAAUCUCCGGGCUCAACCCGGAAACUGCCAUUGAUACUAUUAGUCUUGAAUUCUGUUGAGGUGGGCGGAAUAUGUCAUGUAGCGGUGAAAUGCUUAGAUAUGACAUAGAACACCGAUUGCGAAGGCAGCUCACUAAGCAGAUAUUGACGCUGAGGCACGAAAGCGUGGGGAUCAAACA
rnacentral:rRNA from 1 species